GGCAGUUUUCCGCUCUCUACUGGACAGGAGGAUGUACUCGCGCAAUAUGGAACUAGGACUACCAGUGCCAAGAGAAUAAUUAGACUUAAUAGCGUCAGUGCCUGCAAAGACCCAGUCUGCCAGGCUGUACAGCUCCGAGUGUUUCCCAGAGAUGAACACAAUGGUGUGCUUGGGGCUUGGGGUGAGGUGGCAGCCAGUGGGGUCAUCAUGGCAUGGUGAAAGAACAACAGUCGUCACCCCUGCCCAAUCAUACUGCUAAUACUCUCCAUCCUCGUAACCCCGCGGCUGGGGGUGACAGUGUUUGCUGGAUCAAUGGCCCUCACAGGAAACAGCGCUCCGUAUCACCAAGUCUUUCCGUUGCGUACCCCUCUCACUCGCUCUUACAUGCUCUUACACCUUGCUUUCAUCACAGAUGCAUUCUCUCUCUCCGUCACAUCCACAAUCCAGCUUUAAGUACAACUUCAUAAAUUGAUUGUAUAAAAACUGCUACUGAUGAAGCACAUUUAAUUUAUGCCGAGCUCCACUUUUCUCCUGUGCAGAGUAAAAGUGCCAUUUCUAUGUAACUUCCACUAGAGGGAGAACCAGUACUGUAUGUAAUCCUGGAAACUGCUUCUGGUUUUACAACACCGUAUGCCUUUAUUUUAUUGUAUAUUUACUA